AACGAACGCUGGCGGCAUGCCUAACACAUGCAAGUCGAACGAACCCUUCGGGGUUAGUGGCGCACGGGUGCGUAACGCGUGGGAAUCUGCCCUUUGCUUCGGAAUAACUCAGGGAAACUUGUGCUAAUACCGGAUGAUGUCUUCGGACCAAAGAUUUAUCGGCAAGGGAUGAGCCCGCGUAGGAUUAGGUAGUUGGUGGGGUAAAGGCCUACCAAGCCGACGAUCCUUAGCUGGUCUGAGAGGAUGAUCAGCCACACUGGGACUGAGACACGGCCCAGACUCCUACGGGAGGCAGCAGUGGGGAAUAUUGGACAAUGGGCGCAAGCCUGAUCCAGCAAUGCCGCGUGAGUGAUGAAGGCCCGCGGGUCGUAAAGCUCUUUUACCAGGGAUGAUAAUGACAGUACCUGGAGAAUAAGCUCCGGCUAACUCCGUG
rnacentral:rRNA from 1 species